rnacentral:rRNA from 1 species
AGCGCACACGGUGGAUGCCUUGGCGGUCAGAGGCGAUGAAGGACGUGGCAGCCUGCGAAAAGUAUCGGGGAGCUGGCAACAAGCUUUGAUCCGGUAAUGUCCGAAUGGGGAAACCCACCCGCUUGCGGGUAUCCUGCAGUGAAUACAUAGCUGCUGGAAGCGAACCUGGUGAACUGAAAUAUCUAAGUAACCAGAGGAAAAGAAAUCAACCGAGAUUCCGUAAGUAGCGACGAGCGAACGCGGACUAGCCCUUAAGCUGAUUUGGUUCUAGGAAAACGCUCUGGAAAGAGUGGCCAUAGAAGGUGAUAGCCCUGUAUCUGAAAGGGCCAUUUCAGUGAAGACGAGUAGGGCGGGGCACGUGAAACCCUGUCUGAACAUGGGGGGACCAUCCUCCAAGGCUAAAUACUACUGACCGACCGAUAGUGAACCAGUACCGUGAGGGAAAGGCGAAAAGAACCCCGGAGAGGGGAGUGAAAUAGAACCUGAAACCGUGUGCGUACAAGCAGUAGGAGCUCCGCAAGGAGUGACUGCGUACCUUUUGUAUAAUGGGUCAGCGACUUACUGUUCGUGGCAAGCUUAACCGUAUAGGGGAGGCGAAGGGAAACCGAGUCUGAUAAGGGCGCAUAGUCGCGGGCAGUAGACCCGAAACCGGGUGAUCUAGUCAUGCCCAGGGUGAAGGUGCGGUAACACGCACUGGAGGCCCGAACCCACUCCCGUUGCAAAGGUAGGGGAUGAGGUGUGAUUAGGAGUGAAAAGCUAAUCGAACCCGGAGAUAGCUGGUUCUCCUCGAAAGCUAUUUAGGUAGCGCCUCAUAUGUAUCCUCUCGGGGGUAGAGCACUGUUAUGGCUAGGGGGUCAUCGCGACUUACCAAACCAUUGCAAACUCCGAAUACCGAGACGGACUGUAUGGGAGACACACGGCGGGUGCUAACGUCCGUCGUGAAAAGGGAAACAACCCAGACCCACAGCUAAGGUCCCAAAUUCACUGCUAAGUGGAAAACCAUGUGGAAAGGCACAGACAGCCAGGAGGUUGGCUUAGAAGCAGCCACCCUUUAAAGAAAGCGUAAUAGCUCACUGGUCGAGUCGGUCUGCGGGGAAGAUUUAACGGGGCUAAGCAGUGAACCGAAGCUUGGGGUGCAUACUUUGUAUGCGCGGUAGAGGAGCGUUCCGUAAGCCGUUGAAGGUGGAUUGAGAAGUCUGCUGGAGGUAUCGGAAGUGCGAAUGCUGACAUGAGUAACGAUAAUGCGGGUGAAAAACCCGCACGCCGAAAGCCCAAGGUUUCCUUGCGCAACGUUAAUCGGCGCAGGGUGAGUCGGCCCCUAAGGCGAGGACGAAAGUCGUAGUCGAUGGGAAGCAGGUUAAUAUUCCUGCACCUCGCGUAAGUGCGAUGGAGGGACGGAGAAGGUUAGGUGUACCAGGCGUUGGUUGUCCUGGGGAAAGGCGGUAGGUUUGGAUCUUUGGCAAAUCCGGGAUCCUUUAAGACCGAGCACCGAGACGAGCCUUUAUGGCGAAGUCACUGAUACCACGCUUCCAGGAAAAGCUCCUAAGCUUCAGCUUACGCAGACCGUACCGUAAACCGACACAGGUGGGUAGGAUGAGAAUUCUCAGGCGCUUGAGAGAACUCGGGUGAAGGAACUAGGCAACAUGGCACCGUAACUUCGGGAGAAGGUGCACCCUUUUUGGUGGCUCGUGCGAGCUAUAGCUGAAGAGGGUCGCAGUAACCAGGCCGCUGCGACUGUUUAUCAAAAACACAGCACUCUGCAAACACGAAAGUGGACGUAUAGGGUGUGACGCCUGCCCGGUGCUGGAAGGUUAAUUGAUGGGGUCAGCCGCAAGGCGAAGCUCUUGAUCGAAGCCCCAGUAAACGGCGGCCGUAACUAUAACGGUCCUAAGGUAGCGAAAUUCCUUGUCGGGUAAGUUCCGACCUGCACGAAUGGCGUAACGACAGCGGCGCUGUCUCCACCCGAGACUCAGUGAAAUUGAAAUCGCUGUGAAGAUGCAGCGUUCCCGUGGCAAGACGGAAAGACCCCGUGAACCUUUACUAUAGCUUUACACUGAACGUUGAGUUCGUCUGUGUAGGAUAGGUGGGAGGCUAUGAAACUGUGGCGCUAGCUGCAGCGGAGCCAUCCUUGAAAUACCACCCUGUCGUGCUUGACGUUCUAACCUGGGCCCAUUAUCUGGGUCGGGGACCGUGUAUGGUGGGUAGUUUGACUGGGGCGGUCUCCUCCUAAAGAGUAACGGAGGAGCUCGAAGGUACGCUCAGCGCGGUCGGACAUCGCGCACUGUGUGCAAAGGCAUAAGCGUGCUUGACUGCAAGAUCGACGGAUCAAGCAGGUAGGAAACUAGGACUUAGUGAUCCGGUGGUUCUGUAUGGAAGGGCCAUCGCUCAACGGAUAAAAGGUACUCCGGGGAUAACAGGCUGAUACCGCCCAAGAGUUCAUAUCGACGGCGGUGUUUGGCACCUCGAUGUCGGCUCAUCACAUCCUGGGGCUGUAGUCGGUCCCAAGGGUAUGGCUGUUCGCCAUUUAAAGUGGUACGCGAGCUGGGUUCAGAACGUCGUGAGACAGUUCGGUCCCUAUCUGCCAUGGGCGUUGGAGAUUUGAGAGGGGCUGCUCCUAGUACGAGAGGACCGGAGUGGACGAACCUCUGGUGUUCCGGUUGUCACGCCAGUGGCAUUGCCGGGUAGCUAUGUUCGGAAGCGAUAACCGCUGAAAGCAUCUAAGCGGGAAGCGCGCCUCAAGAUGAGAUCUCCCGGGGCACAAGCCCCCUGAAGGAACCAUGUAGACUACGUGGUUGAUAGGUCAGGUGUGUAAGUACAGCAAUGUAUUGAGCUAACUGAUACUAAUGAUCCGUGCGGCUUGACC